rnacentral:rRNA from 1 species
GCAUGGCGGACUGCUAACACAUGCAAGUCGAACGGGGGCGCAUCCUUCGGGGUGUUGCCUUAGUGGCAGACGGGUGAGUAACACGUGGGAACCUACCCUGGAGUGGGGGACAACCGCUGGAAACGGCGGCUAAUACCGCAUGCUCCCUAAGGGGAAAAGGCUUCGGCCGCUUUGGGAGGGGCCCGCGUCCGAUUAGCUUGUUGGUGGGGUAACGGCCUACCAAGGCGACGAUCGGUAGCUGGUCUGAGAGGAUGAUCAGCCACACUGGGACUGAGACACGGCCCAGACUCCUACGGGAGGCAGCAGUGGGGAAUAUUGGACAAUGGGCGAAAGCCUGAUCCAGCAAUGCCGCGUGAGUGAAAAAGGCCUUAGGGUUGUAAAGCUCUUUCACCCGUGAAGAUGAUGACGGUAGCGGGAGAAGAAGCCCCGGCUAAUUCCGUGCCAGCAGCCGCGGUAAUACGGAAGGGGCUAGCGUUGUUCGGAUUUACUGGGCGUAAAGCGCGCGUAGGCGGCGGACCAAGUUAGGCGUGAAAGCCCUGGGCUCAACCC